CUUUCAUCUCCUCUCCCUAGCUUCUUCGAUCUCCUCUCUUUCUUUGAUCUACACCACCACAAAUUCGACCACCGCCACAAAGCCCACCACCACAACAUCACCACUGCCGCAAAGCCCCUGCCACCACCACAAAGGUCGACGGCCGCCGCAAAUCCCACCGACAAUUUCUGGGUAUAAUUUAUACGAGUUCGUGAGUUAUCUUCGUCGAAAAUUGAUGGCCGAUACUUUGCUUCUGCAAUUCAGCUAUUGAGCUCGUUCGUCGAAUCCAUUUGGUUUUUUUUUGGGCAAGUGUAAAACUACUGAUUAUAAAUUUCAAUUAUAUUAUGUAUUAAUGUAUUAUGUAACAUUUUGGUGAUUAUGAAUUUCAAUUAUAUUUGGUGUGUUAUUACUGAUUA